CUCGGAAAAAAGUACUUGGAUGAAUGAUUUUAAAAAUUUAAGACAUUGCUCUUAUGAUCCUGAUUGUGUAAAUAUAACAUACUGACUGCAUGUGAUUUUUCCUGCCAAUUGUUAACCGGAGUUAUUUUUACAGAGGGGGAUGCUUUAGGUUUUAUUUUAUACCUUUCACAUUCAAAUUUUAAUUUGAUGUGUAUAUAUUGCCUUUUUUAUUCUUUUAAAAAUAUCAACAGGGAUUGCCUGGGCAGUGAGGUUAUGGGCCAUUUUGUAUUUUAUACAAUUUAUUUUUAAAAACUCAACACUUAUAAUAAUAAAGUUUCUGAAAAAGAGACAGUACCUUCAUAUCUGAUUCUCCUGCGGUGCGUGUGCCCUGACAGAAGAAGUUGUAUUUGCCUUCCCAUACUCCUGUUACUAACUAAAAAAGAAGAAAGAGCCAGUCACCAACAGCAUCUGAGCCAUGUAAAGUCCUCAUUGAACUUUAUUAGUUGCAGAAUCUGUGAUAAUUUACCUUGGGCUGUGCUGAGCCAAGUUUGCUCUGAGAAAAAACAAUUGUAGGCAAGUGUAAACAAAAGGAAAGCUUUAAUGACUUGAGUCUCAAUUUCCUAAGGGGUGGGCUUAAAAGUCACUCCCAGGCUGCUGCCCUCAGAGACCUUCCUUUACCACGCUGCUUCUCUGCAGAACCCUCAGCCCGUCACCCCCUUGGUCCUAGCACAAGUGCCCAGACCAAGCCAAUCACAGGCUCCCUGCUCUGCCCCACAGAAGCCUCUGGCUGCUUUCCCUAAGCCAGUGCUCCUCAAACUUGAGUGUGCAGCACCAGAAUUACCUGAGGGGUGAGUUAGUAAAACAUGGGUCCCUGGGGGUGUUUCUGUUCCAGUAGGUCUGGGGGCCUAGAAUUUGUAUGUCUAACAAGGUCCAGGUGAUACUGAUGCUGCUGAUGUGGAAACCAUACUUUGAGAACCACUGCUGUAGGCUCAGGGAUAAUUUAGUCCAACUUUAUCUUCAUUAUUUCCUGUUGUUGUAUGUACAAUCCUCCGGAUCCAUGAAUUAGGCUUCACAAACUGAAGGCUUCACAAGUGCCCAUGCCUCAGAAUCACUUGCAGCACAGUAGGCACUAUGCUGUCACAGAGAGGACCCCAGAACUGGGGUACAGGCUCUACAUCACAGCCCAGCAGUUAUCACGGGCCCCUCCCCUCAAUGGGCCCGUGAUAACUGCAGGGCUGUGAUGUAGAGUCUGCACCCCAAUUCUUGUGUUCCCUGUCCUUGAACACAAGAGUUUAGCUUGGCGAGCAACACAGAUUCCCCCCCAGGGAACAAGAGGUGAUUACAAGGAUCUGAAGACACCUUGUGAUAUUUCCACCUGGUCUGACAUCAGAAAUAAAUGGCAAAAAAUGGGUGUAGCCGCUGCACUCACGCUGGGUAUCCUGCCUUCUAUCUGAUUUUUCUUUGGUUAUCUUUCUUCUUGCCAUUUUCCUUCUGCUUUGUCACCUUCUACACAUAAAAAAGCACUGAGAGUUAACAGGCUUUUCAUGGCCAAAGAAGAGCACAAGGAUUUAGCAUGGGAGAAGCAUCAGUUCAUGAUGAAGAGCCAUGGAAUUAGGAGGAAGGCUUGAGUGCCAGGCCCAGCACCUGGGGCAAGCCAGCUAAUUCCUGUGGGCUUUUGUUGUUUUUACUAUAAAAUGAUGAGGUUGGACUAAAUUAUCUCUAAAGGGUCUGUUCCAAAUUUCUGUAGCUUCAUGUUAACAGACUUUAAAAACAGACCACACAACAAACUAUUCUAUACUAUCUUUGAAAGAUCAGUACCCACAUGGUAAUUCAUUAGAAGGUGUAUUAACUUUUCUGUCUUCUACUACUCUCUAAAGUCAUGGCCAGUCAAGCAGGAUCCAUGCAGGCUGAUCAGAAGUCCUAAGAAGCAAGACACAAAGUCUGAAUCCAAAGUGCGUUGGAGGUCGGGGGAGGAAGCUGGCAUGCACUCUUGAGACCUGGGGUGGAGAGGGAAGGGCCAGCUUAGCACAGUGCUCUUUUUGCUGCCCUUCUUUCUACCCCAGGAGGGAACCAAGGAACUACCUCCUGUGGCUUGAGGGUACAGAAAGGAAACUGGUGCUUCUUGAUGAAAUGUUUGUGGGACAACCGCGAAUAAGAAAAAUAAGGACAACGCAGUAAGGUUUUCAUGAAGAUAAAUUCGUGCAAUGUAAAAGAUCCUCUUUUUUAAAACAGCAGCCUCUCUUGGCAAAAUUAAAAACGUACUAACAUAUGACUGUCUUCAUCAGAGAUAUUUUUGGAAAUGUUACCAUUUUAUGAAUCUUAAAUCUGGAACCUACCAUCACUGUUUUUUCCAGCGACUAUUUUGGUUUAUGGUGUCCAGAGACAUCCUGGGUUGGUUUUGCUUUUGUCUGUUUUAAAAUAGGAUGGCUGGUGUGUGUGCACUUGUGGAGGUGUGGAUGACUGCAUUCAUGAAUGUCUAUCUUGGCAGGGGUGGGGAAAAUCAAGGUAGCUCUCUGGAGAAGAGGAGGACAAAUCCUCUCUUGUAAUUCUGCAGGCGCCUCAAUCCCAAAGAUGAGAACGGGUUGAAGGGGUCUUGUUAACUCAGCAGAAGGGACUCUUGGACACAGGCUUCCUUUUUAAGAAGGGAUCCAGGUGGGAUUGCCUUGACUCUUUAAACUAGUUAACCUAACGUUCCAUUUGCCCUCUCCCCACCCAUAAAUGGGGCAGGGGAAUCCAUGUAUAAAACACCUGUUGUCUUUGGAGUUUAGUUAAAGAACUCAAACCUCAGUAUUGGGUGGUGAACUUUUUUCACUCCUGAAGCAUAAACCAGGUAUACACACAAGAAGCUGCUCACUCGGUGCCACUCCACUUGACCUAGGCCCACCAUUCCUCUUCCACCUGUUGAGGUUCCCUGUAGGAGCUCUGUCAUGCUUCAAUGCAACACUCCCUCCACUGCUACUCACACCUACCACACUUCCACUGGGGCCGCUGUGCCCCUCAAACCACUGAAUUCCAUAUUUCCAUAUUUAAAACCCUCCAGUGAGUCAUCAUUGCCUUCAGAAUGAAACCCUGAAUCCUAGGUGCAGUGUCCAGGUAUUUAGUCUUCCACAACGUGGUCCCAAGCUUAUCUUUCACUUCUCCCCUACGUGCACACAAAUUGGACCUCUUCCCAUUCUCCAAACAUGCCCUUCCUUAACCGCUACACAGUAGCCAAGGGGAAAGAGCAUGGGUUUGGGCAUUAGCCCAUUAAACCCUAGCUUUUUCACGUUUUGCUAGGUGACCUUAGCUAAGGUAUUCCAACAUUUUAAACUUCAGUUUUCUCAGUCCUCAAAUGGGAUAAACAUAAGGCUCCCACCAUGAAGUACAUAAUGCCUGUCUCACCCAAUGUGGUUCAUAGGAUUAAACAUAAGUGUUGGCAGUGACCACUGUUUUAUUCUUUUCAACUAGAAUGCCCUCUGCACCUAUGUACCCCCAUCUCCAGCUCUCAAAAUCCUAUCUAUCCUUCAAAGUUCAGUUAAAAUUCUAUUUUCUUCAUGAUUACUCCCUUGAGCACUAGAGCCUGAGGUCUAUUCUCCUUCCUCUACCCUCACCUUGCAGUGACCUGUAGCUGUUUGCUCACAUGCUCCCUUUGUUAAUGGGCCUGUUGUGUGCUCUUCUGUAAGAUUUCGAAGGGUGGUGACUGUGGCUCCUGCAUCUGCAUCAACAUAUUCCAGCACAGGGAUUAGCGUACCAGAGAUGUCAAACAAAUAUUUGCUAAACAAAUGACAAAGAGUUCAAGACUGCCAAUUCUUUCCCCUAAAUCUAGGCCUAAUGUUUCAUGUGCAGCAAUAAAGAGAGCUUCAUAGUAUUUUAAACGAGGCUUGACUUUGUGAUCAUAUUCAUCUGAACUCUGUUCACAAGAUGAAAACUCUUCAUCAUCAAUUUCAUAAUGGGGUCAUGGAAAUUCUCAAAUCUCCCUGGCUUCAGAAAGGAUAGAAUAAUUUAACAAACCAAGACCAAGGACCUGAGUUGAAGCUUAUUCACCUAAGACCCUCAUCAAACCUCCAUAAAAUGGGCUAGCAGUAGAGGGCUCUACUCCCUCCAUCCCCCUCAGAGGAUAGCAAUGUGUCCAUGGGUAGUGGACUACAGAGGUGCUCAAAGCAAAGGACUGACCCCUGUAGCCCCACUAGGAGCACAUCACAGGAGACAAUCCUCAAGUCAAAGUCACAUCAGCCACCUUUCCCUUUGGGACUGAGGCCUAGCUUCUUUCCAAAGAGCUGUUUUGGUCAAUUUCCCAGAAAUUCUUCAAGUUGCGUGUUAAGUAGACACCACAGGGUGAGAGGACCCAGUAGGCUGGAGAAGGUGAAGUACUGAAAAUAGGGGCAGGUGUCUGUCUACCUUGGGCUUCUGAGAAUCAGAUCGAAAGAGGACAGGACUAUACUAUAAUGAAAAAGCAGGCCAUCACAAACAGCUAACCACUACCUAACGAAAUUUUCCAUACCACUGCCAACUCCAAGAACCACCCAGGGGCAUUAUUUGCAGGCUUUUUUCUGAGGAACUGAGAUACAAACAGUACCACUGCAAAGCUUUAUACACUUCCUCCUUCCUUGGAGUAAAGCAAACUUUAAUUAGGCCAAGAGGAUGUGCAGAGCUAUAAUUAAAACCUAGCUACAAGCUCUUUUCUCCAUAUGAGAUAAAGUCAAUAACCCUGAUGGUUUCAUGCACCUUUUCAAUGAAAGAAAAAAAUGUAGGUGAGUUUCACACCUGGUUCUGGAUGACAUAAUUCAUGGAGUGAAUCUUUUUUCUUUGAGACAGGGCCUGGCUGUGUUGCUCAGGCUGGUGUGCAGUGGCACAAUCUCAGCUCACUGCAACCUCCACUUCCUGGGCUCAAGCCAUCCUCCUACCUCAGCCUCCCAAGUAGCUGAGACUACAGGUGCACGCUGUCAUGCCCGGCUAAUUUUUAUAUUUUUGUUGUAAAGAUGGGGUUUCACCAUGUUGCGCAGGCUGGUCUUAAACUCCUGAGCUCCAGUGAUCUGCUUGCCUUGGCCACCCAAAGUGCUGGGAUUCCAGGUGUGAGCCCCUGCACCCAGCCAGGAGUGAAUCAUUUUUAACGGUGAGUUGACUUUUCCCAUCUAAUAACACAUUUAACCACAAACAACUUGUAACCUUUAGCAUAAUAACCAUUUCCAUGGCACUUUCUGGAAUGCUACUGAAACAUCUCAGGAAACAAGGUCACUGGAAACACUUAAAGAAAAAGGAGGAAAACAUCAUCUUGGGUGGCCCUUAUCAGCCAUUAACAUCAGCAUCCCAAGAUGUCAGAGCAACAAGAUAACCCCUUUCCAAAGAAGACUGGCUGCUUCUGGUGAUAAGAGCUUGAUGAAGCUGCAUGUUUACUACCUCCUAUGCAGAAAUGGGGUAAAAAGUAAUGAAAAAUAGACUAUCCAUACUCAAGUUCAACUACAUCACAGGACCUAAGGUGCUUUUCUAAGCAAAAUCUCCAAGAAUACGUAGGGUUGACCCUCUUCAUAGCUUUGUUUCUGUGUGAGUCCUCAACUGUGUAUUUUUUAGAUCUGGUACAAGCUCGUAUUUUUAAUGAGAAAACAGGGAAUGAGAAGUGAUAAGGAUGGCCCAGGUCUUGGUACCACUGGGAUUAGCACAAAGGAAUCCUGACUCUCAGUCCAAAUGCACCUCAAACAGCAGUUCCAAGCAUCUUUGCCCUUCUUCAUCUGUUUUUGAAUUCUUAGUAAGAACAUGGUAGGGAUACUCUGUCCAUGAAGAAUUCUGUGGAAAAGCAGACCUUUAACUGCAUCUUUUUCUUCCGCAGAUGUUUGGUUUAAAAUUAACCAUGAACUACUCAAAAUUGAAAGUACCUAUUUCCUCUAGGGUUUAGUUGGCCAAUUUUCGCAGUGCUAUUAGGGAGUGCCAGGUCAAAGCAUGUGGUUUUUACAUUUCAAAUCUUUCAUGUCCAGAGCAUAAGGAUGCCCAUUAAGAUAAUUUCACACCCAUGACCUCCACAGGUGUUUUUUUUUUUUCCUUCUCCUUGUGAACAGGAAUACCCCUGGGUUAUAGCUGAACGUAACACUCUUGGCUAAGUUAAAAAAGACAGGUUCUGUACACUUGAGAAGUCUUUAAAACAAAACACAAAGAAACAGCCUGUCCUCAAUCCAAACUGAAACAGGUAUGUCUGGCAUUUUCCCUGAAUCCUCAAGCCCUGCCCUCUUAUGCUAGCAGUUCUCCCUGUUCAGGCCUCCCAGAACUUUCCCUCUGUAGAAAGCAGAUGGUAAGAGUGCAAUAAGCAUUAGAUUAGUUAGCCCAAUACCUGACAUAAGGUAGGCACUAUCUGUCUUUGCUAUGAUCUUAGGCAAAUGUUAAGUACUUUUGCUUCCAACUAGGGCUAAGGUGGUGCUGGAUGUCCCAGCCAAAGUAUAAUUUGUGUCAUUUAAAGGAAGGUCUCCAGCCUACCCACUGACGCCUGCUUUGCAGAGUUAAGUCCACUUUAGUUGAGGAUCUGUAGAGUGAUGUGCUCCUAGCUACACCAGCUGCAGAGCCAAGCUCUCCAGGUGUUGCAGGGGCAAGUUUAGAGGAGUGAGGCCUGGCUCUGGACAAGCCAGAAGGCUUCCUCUCUGUAGAAAGUAUUCCCUUCCCCUCCCCUGGGUGUGGGUGAGGAAUGAAGGAUGUUUGAGCUGCAUCCUUCUCUCCAUUCUCCCUACCGUGAGGCAUUCUCUCAGGGCAGUGUCAGAUACACUAGGGACAACUAACUGUUUCCUUUCAGGCCCUGAGAGAAGUUUCUUUCUCAGCAAGGAAUUUUAGUUGUAAGGAAACUAAGAGUGAAAAGUAUUCUAGGCAAUGAUCAGGCAUUUCUUGUAAGUACUAAUUUCACCAGAUGUUUCAACUGCUCUAUACCUCUGCUAAAUGGGAAAAAGAACAGCAAAUAGCCUUUUCAAAGUAUUUUGGUAAACAAAGUUAUUUUUCAAAUAAAAUUCAAUAAUCAAUUGCCAGGUUGCUUAAGUGUUUUUCCAAAUCCUAUUUUCCCACAAUAACGUAUCUAUUUUAGGAAAGCCUGAAGGGAAAGAAAAACAACCAGUUUAGAAUAUUAUGUUUCCAAAGCAACUGCUCUGUGGUUCCAUCAGAUGGCCUUCAAACCCAGAGCCUGGGGAGAUGCUUUCACAGCCCACAAUUACAGAGGUUAGAAAGCACAAACAAAGCAUUCAGUCACCAAAUGCUCAACUUCUUUCAUCUUUCCAAUAAAAAAGCAUCACAAAUUUUCAAAACAAAUUCAAAGGAAAAAAAACUGACUUCUGGUUCUAGCAACGUGGCAAACUGAACAAAAGCAGAACCAACUCUCUCACUAUAAACACAGGUAGGAAAGUGGUAUAAAACACAGCAAAAACUCCAACACAAUCAAUUCUUACCUAUAAUGCGAGGGAGGUCCCCACAACAAAUUAUUCUUUAGAAAAAGAGAAAUCAGCUUAAAUUCAACUCCUUCCAAAAUCUUUAUGUGGAAAAGGCAUGUUUACCUGAGAUGACCCCCAACAAUACUAGUUUGGGAUGCUUACACAGAACACUAGGCAAACCUUUACUUCUGUUUUAGGAGGUAAAGAAAUUUAACACAGACAAUAAUUAUCCCAGAGGCAUUACCUCACAGAUAUAUCUGUAAGCAAGCUUUUAAUAGAAUACUUAAAAAGGCAACACAGCAAAUGGUUAAAUUUGGAGAUCACUGUCAUCUAAUCUAUAUCACUGGGGGGGACAAUACUUCCAUGUUAUGGAAUAAAAAAAGAGCAAGCAGUGAACUUUCAGAAGUAAAAGAUACAUAGCCAUUUAAACUAAAAACACAAUAGAUGGAUGAAACAGAUUAAAAACAAAUGAAGGAAGUAGGAGUGAAUGGAAGAAUGCAAAAUUUUCAAAGUGCCUAGAAAGAAAAAAAGAUUACCCUACAAAUGAGCAAAAGUGGGACCACAGCAGACUUCUCUGGAAUAAAUCUUCAAAGUGCUGAGGAAAAAUAACUGUUAAUCUAGAAUUCUAUGCCUUGAUAAAAUAUUAUUCAAGUGUAAAGGCAAAUAACAUGACACUCAGACUAAGAUAUUGCCCUUCAUAGAAAGAACUACUUACGAAAAAAAUUGAAUCAAAAAGGAAAGAAUAAAUUUCACAGAGCAAAGAAAAUCAGUAAACACUGAUGGCAAUAAUGGUGAUUAUUUAGGACCUUAAAAAAAAAAAAAAGUGAGGCCAGAUGUGGUGGCUCACGCCUGUAAUCCUAGUGCUUUGGGAGGCCAGGGUGGGAGGACUGCCAGAGCCCAGGAAUUUGAGACCAGCUUGGGCAACAAAGUGAGACUCCAUCUCUACAAAAAAUAAAAAUAUUAGCUGGGCACAGUGGCAUGCUCCUGCAGUCCCAGCUGCCUGGGAGGCUGAGGCAGGAAGAUCACUUGUGCCCAGGAGUUUGAGGUUACAAUGAGCUAUGACCAUGUCACUGCACUUCAGCCUGGGCAACAGAGCAAGACCAUCUUUUUUUUUUUUUAAAAAAAAAGGUAGAAAUAACUCCUGACAACAGUAACAUGAAAGAUGAGGGGUCACAGCUAGAAUCCUCUAAGGUCCCUGGUAUUGUUUAGGAGAAUAGAAAUACUGACUCAACUGAAACUGUCGUAAGUUAAAAAUGCAUGGUAAACAUCUAUGGGUAACCACUCAACAGAAUGAAUAACUUUUGAAUAAGUACAAUAAAAAAUAAUGGUUACAAAAAUUCUACAAAGCAGUAAAGGAGAAAAGAAGGCCAAAGAAAACAUAUAUACACAAAAAAGGUGACAGAAAGUACAGGCAUACCUCAUCUUUGCUUUAUUGCACUUUGUAUAUAUUACAGGUUUUCUUAACUGAGGUCUGUGGCAACUCUGCAUUAAGCAACUCUAUUGGUACCAUUUUUACAACAGCACGUGUUCACUAUGUGUUACUGUGUCACAUUUUUGUAAUUCUCACAAUUAUAAAAUAUUUCUCAAAAUAUUUCAAAUUUUUUCACUAUUAUUAUAUCUGUUGUGGCGAUCUGUGUGUGGUUACUGAACUUUGAUGUUACCAUUGUAAUUGUUUUGAGGUGCCAUGAACCACACCUAUAUAAGACAGCAAACUCAACAAAUAUUGUCUGUAUUUUAGCUGCUCCACAGACUUGCUGUUCCCCCUAACCAUCUCUUUCUUCUCUGGCCUCCUUAUUUCCUGAGAUACAACAAUAUUGAAAUUGGGUUAAUAAUCCUACAAUGGCCUCUAAGUGCUGAAGUGAAAGGAAGAGUAGCAUGUCUCUCACUUUACAUCAAAAGCUAGAAAUGAUUAAGCUUAGUGAGGAAGGCAGGUGGAAAGCUGAGACAGGACGAAAGCUGGGCCUCUCGUACCAGGUUAGCCACGUUGUGAAUGCAAAGGAAAAGUUACUGAAGGAAAUUAAAAGUGCUACUCGUAUGAACAUAAAAAUGAUGAGAAAGCAUUAGUAGCCUUAUUGCUGAAAGUUUGAGUGGUCUAGGUAGAAGAUCAAACCAGCCAUAACAUUCCCUUAAGCCAAAAUCUAAUCCAGAGCAAGCCACUAACUCACUUCAAUUCUGUGAAGCCUGGGAGAGGUGAUGAAGCUGCAGAAGAAAAGCUUGAAAAUAGCAGAGGAUAGCUCAUAAGGUUUAAGGGAAGAAGUCAUCUCCAUAACACAAAAGGGCAAGGUGUAGCAGCAAGUGCUGCUAUAGAAGCUGCAGCCAGUUAUCUGGAAGAUUUAACUAAGAUCACUGACGAACAUGGCUACACUAAACUGUAGCACAUACCACUGCACCUGGGAGCAUUUUUAUUUUUAAUUUAUCUUUUUUUUCUUAUAAAUAGGGUUUUACUCUGUCACCCAGGCUGGAGUGCAGUGGUGUGGUCAUAGCUCACCGGAACCUUGAGCUCCUGGGCACAAGCCAUCCUCCCACCUCGGCCUCCCAAGUAGCUAGGACAACAAGCUCGAGCCAUGCCAGGCUAGUUAUAAAAUUUUUUGUAGAGAGAGGAUCUUGCUAUGUUGCCCAGGCUGGUCUCAAACUCCUGGCCUCAAGCAAUUCUCCCACCUCGGCCUCUCAAAGUGCUAGGAUUACAGAUGUACACCAUUGUGCCUGGCCAGCAUUUUUAAAUUUAGGUAUGUCUACUGUUUUUUUUUAAGAUUUAAUGCGAUUGCACACUUAAUAGACCAUAAUGUAAACAUAACUUUUAUAUGCACUGCGAAACCAAAAAUGGUAUGACUUACUUUAUUGCAAUACUCAUUUUAUUGCAGUGAUCUGCAACUAAUGCUGCAAUAUCUGAGGUAUAAAAUAACUAUUAACAUGCUAAAUGAAAAUGAAUUAAAUUUCCCCAUUAAAGACAAGAGACUGUCGGAUUCAGUCAUUAAACCCCUAUGCAUUUAUCUGGUCAAAAAACUUACCAUAUUUGCAUAAGGAGAUAUGUCUAAGAAGAUUCUUGGCACACUGUUAAUUGAACAACUUGCAUAAACCCACAUAGCUGGGCACAGUGGCUCACACCUGUAAUCCUAGCACUUUGGGAGGCUGAUGUGGGAGGAUCACUUUGAGUCCAGGAGUUUGAGAUCAGUCCAGGCAACACCGUGAGACAAUGUUUCUACCAAAAAUAAAAAAAUUAGCCAGGCAUGGUGGCACAUGCCUGUAGUCCCAGCUACUCAGGAGGCUGAGGUGGGAGGAUCGCUUAAGGCCAGGAGUUCUAGGCUGCAGUGGGUGAGGUAUGAUUGUGCCACUGAACUCCAGCCGGGGUAACAGAGCCGGACUCUGUCUCAAAAAACAACAACAAAAAACAAUCUAACAACAUACAUAUCCAUCCAAAGAAACACUUAUAAAAUGGUGUAAUAAAUUCCAACACUGAAAUAAUACAAAGCAGAUAAAAUGAAUUUCUAAUUAACUAUAAUUAACAUAAUUAUAAUUAAUGAAUUACAUCUAUACGACUCAAG
rnacentral:lncRNA from 1 species